CUUGCCUCCCAAGCGCCGGGCCAGCCCGAGCAGAUCUAUAUCUGUGCAUCUCAUUGCAUAGAUUGUUGCAGCUCAUCCGUGCAUCGUGAGAUUCUGAAGCAUCACAAAGGAAUAGUGUAAGACUGGAAGAAGAAAACUUCAUGAAUGGAUCUGAUGUAGUUUGGACAAAAGAUGCUGGGGGAGGACUACAGAGGAAGAAGUGGUCACUGCUUCCUGGGUGAAGACAAGGAAAACACAUUCGCAGUCUGAUUCAGAAGAAGAUGAGAAGAGCUUUCAUUGCUUUUUAUGCUUUUUCUUAUGCUUUCCCACUGUCUUUAUCCCUUAGCCGAUUCUAAGCUUUUUGAUAGCUUUUGUCUGCCACUCCUCUGUUUUUCUUCCAGCAGAUAUCUUCAUGUGAUAAACCAAUGUUCUUGUACAAUACAACUUUCUCUGUUGGUAUCUUCUCUAAAAACUGAUAAAUAGAAUUAAAAUUAAUAGGUUGCACGUAAGAGAAGAAGAGCCGGAUUAAAAGAUGCUGGCAAGGAAGAAAUGCAGCAGCGGUCUGAAAUGAGAUGAAGGGUUGAUGAGGCUCAGCCAGCCAAGGGUGACAGAAGCUGCACGUAGGGAACGUGAGCCUGCCGCCACGAGCAGUGGUGCUGCCUGGAGGGACCAGAAGGAAGCAGGUCGCUUCAUGAUAAUGAGGGAUGGAGUGAAGACGCAGCCUAAGGAUCAUAAGCAAGGGAGAGCAAGGCAAUGCCUGGGGGGCUGAGUAGAAUUCAGGAAAUAGGUAAAAAUAUGGGGAGGUAGAAAGCUGUCCAUCUUCAUAUGAGUGCUGUCAGCUGUUAAAUCAAGAGGUGGCUCGGCAUCAUGGGGAAAAAAAGGCUGAGGUCUGUGAAACUGUAUUUCGAAAUCUUGUAAUAGAGACCAUUUUCUUAUGUGGAAAAUAAAACUUAGAAUCUCCCAGGUAGAGGUUCUGGUCAGAACCCAGGUAUAACAACACGUACUUAAUGCACUUCGCCAGACCCUAAGAUGAGAGGGUUAAAUGCACUGUCGUAUGGCAAUCCAGCUCCAUGGUAACAGUUUUGGAUUUGUACAUCCCAAACAAGGAAUCGGCCUCCUGGUUUGGAUAUGUGGUCAGCCCAGCAGCACGGAAGGUAUCACAUCCAUGGUGUCUGUGAUUCUUGUGUGGGACCACUACUGCUGUUAUUUUUUUCUCAUCCAGGACUCCGUAAAAGUACUUGCACUGAAACUACAAUCAAGGGAAUUAGGGUGUAAGGAGGUCAAAGUGAUGGAAGAAGCUGUUGGGAUCCAGAAGAGAGAGGGAGGCUGAAGAAGCCAAGAAAGUGUCUCCCAGCUGUUUUUUCUUCCUUCCUACUGGGAGGUUGUUUACAUAAAAAGAAAAUGUUGAAAUGCCUUUAUGUUACAGUAGCUAUAAAUGAAGCUGUUAGAAAAAUCUGCCGGCUCUUCACUUUUUAUUUAUUUAUUACUCCUAGAGGAUAAUAACUAAAGUUCAUCUGUGAGCAUGAAUAAUUCAUUUGAUCCAUUGCUUGUCACGCUUAAGGGCUAGGCUCGUCCUGGCAAGACGUAGUUCAGCAUAACAGGACCUAGCGCUGAAGCACCUCGCAUCUCACGGAGUUCACAACUGCUAGUCAGACACUUAGCUCCCGGUACAGCACACGGGGAGAGCUGGCUUACUACAAGCAGGAUUCAGAAAAAGAGAAAGACUGUCCAGCCCUGCUGUUGGGUAUUCAUUUGAAGAGAAUCCAUUCAUUAUUUUGAAAGCUAGGACCAUGACCUGGAACUGGCUUUGAAACCUGAGUACAUGCUUGCGAAGGAGUUACGAUGGACAAGAACGUGAGGAAUCUGGGUUUUUUGCUCUGCACAGAUAGUGACAAUUUUGGCUGGAGCAAUCUUUUCUCUCAUUGUAUCCUUCAAAACUUGCAUGGUAGCAAAUUGUACUCUGUGCUAGCAGUCUGCCUGUACGCUGUCACCCGCUACAGAAAUAAAUAUUUGCUUCUCCAUUAAUGCCUUCCGCUUGAAAUCUGAGGUUUUGUUGGACAAUGUCAAUGCCAAACAUCUUGUCUACCAAAAGUUAGUUAGGUGAAACCUUAGUGGAGCUUGCAAGUGCAAUAGCAGCCCCGGAGAACAAAAACAAGUAGUGGUUAAACUCCUCUUUUGGAGUAAGUUUAAAGAAACAGGAAUUCUUACCAGAAAUGCAGACCAUAUGCAAAGCCACUCUGAAAAUGAAGUAUACCGUGGACAAAGACCCCAUGGGGAAAAAUCUGAGAGCAAAUUUUAGAGAGAGUACUGGAUGAAAUGAGGCCUGGAGCUGUGAGCAAAGAAACACACUGCCUCAUUUUGGUGAGAAGAGAACUUUAAUUUAGGCUCCUUUUACUUAAUAAGAUUGAAUUAACUGAAUAGAUCAUUUAAUUCUUUGACUGAAAACAAUCCACAUGUCUGACAGAAGGGGUAGCAGUGCUGUGGGGUAAGGCAGGUAACCUGCUUCAGAGCAGUCAGUAGGGAAGGAAAGCUUCUCCAGAGGGUGAUGCAGAGGGAAAGCUUUUGUGCAAUAAACCUUUUGUCAGGCGUGCAAAAGCUAAAAUCAGUCACUUCAAUGAUACCUCUGUGGAAAAAUGGCAACUCAAAAAUCAGGUAAGCCAGGCAAGAACAAAGCAUCACAUACAUGUAAUGAAAACUCAUCAGCCUUUUUAAAAAAUCACAGAAUAUAAAGGUUUUUAGCACAAAGAUGCUCCCCACAGAUUUUGUAUUAAGUUUGGGGCAAUUGAACGAGUCUUUGCCUAUUGAACGGGGAGCAGGAUUUGUGAAAUGCACAGAAACCAUCAUCACGAACACUUAAGACCCAGUAAAGAAGUGGGACUUGCAACAGAACAACCUGUUUGGUUUCAAACACGGUUACUGUCACGGUCCCGAGGGCACCGCCAGCCCUGACCGUCCCUGACCACCCGCCCCCCUGGGGCUCCCCCCACCUUGCCCAUGCGUGCUCGGGGUACUGAAUGAAUUAAUGGUUCGUUGGGAUGCAGUCAUGUCUGUGAA